rnacentral:lncRNA from 1 species
CUUUCUCCCUCUCUCUCUCUAAAAUAUUUAUUAAUUAUUUAUUUUAUUUUUCUUUAAAACUCUUCUUCCUCCUCCGCCCCCAUCCACCAAACAACAACAACGGACCUCCGCCGUUACAAUCCCAACCCUCCACCGACCUUCAUCCUCACUAAUUUCAACUUCAAUUCAUUCAUCCGCCCACUCCUUCUCUUAAUUACCUAGAUCCAUCAGCUCUUCUCCCUUGCUCUCUACUCUCAAAUGUGAAUGCCAAUUUCCAGAUUUCAUUUCAUAGAUUCCGUACCAGGUCAGCUCUAUUCUGUUCUAUUUUAUGUACGUCUGUGCUCUCCUGUUUCUCACUUUUCGUCUCAAAAUCCUCUUCUUAACUCUCUCUCUCUCUUUUUUAAAUUUUAAUUUUAAAUUUUGGGAUUGAUUUGAUCUUUUUAUAUGUUGCCUCAGAUUUUUAUUUUGCUUCUAGGGUUUUGAUUUGGAUUUUGUUGCAUGGGGCUAAAG